rnacentral:rRNA from 1 species
AUGUACGUGCACGUGUACGUGUACACAUUUCAUUUCAUGGUAUGUACCGUGUACGUGUACGUGUUACCCUACAUAUAUAGCUUACUAUAUGCUAGCAUAUGUGUGUUGGGUUCGUGGUACGUGGAUGGCAGGUACGGUUUCCUUCUUCGACGUCUUAGUCAUGUGGGGCUGUCAGAUCUGAAGUAUGAUGGCGUGUCCGGGGUGUUGCCCCGGUAUGUUUCAUUCAACGGUAAGGUUUUGCUUUUGGCGAGCCACCUCAGAGGUCCGCAAAGCUGCACGUCAGCGAUCGAGCCGCGUUGA